CUCCCCCUGCACUGAACCCGGGUCAGAUCGGUUUCUCCUGCCUCUGCGUCCAGACGGACUGAUGCUCCGCUGCGCCGCGCCGCCGUUAAAUACUCUCCACACUGCAAGAAGUGACCGGCUGCAGAGCGGGACUUCAUCCAGAGUCCGGACCGGUUACAGAUGCGGAUCAGGCCCGCACACACACACACACACACACACACACGCACACACACACACACAGCAGCGGAGGGAUACACGACUCCGUGGGACAUCAAAUAAUCCCGACCUGGAAACCGUGGCCGUUGUGAGUGAAAGUGUCAGGUGACCCUGCUCAGGUGUCCGGGUCAAACACAACGAAGAAGAAAAGAGAGUUUGAGCCCGGAAGUUUCCUGAUGCUUCACACUUUAGAAAAGAGAACGUGGCAGAAAAGCGCGAGGACUGAAAUAUGAAAUAAAACGUUAGUGAAUGAUGCGUUCACAGGCUGUCAGAGAACAACAGUUUCAAAUUCGAGGGUGACUGACCUGCAGGGAAAGAUCUGAACCUCAACAACCAGGACCUGCAUCCAUCGAACUCUCUCUUCUCUUUGUGCAUUUCUCUGGAGAAUGAAGCUGCGUUUGGUUGGUGAGCAAACACCUUUCACGCACCUGAACUAAAACGUCCAGCAGCUCAGACAGAUGUCCAUUAGUUCACUGUGGCUGAUUUGACACGUCGGAGAUGUUGAAGGUCUGACAGGAAUAAAACAGGUGAAAUGCGAGGCUGUGUUUCCACGAGCUGUGGACGUCAGACCAGUCCUCUGCUGCGUCUCUGAAGAUAAAACAGCGAUUCUCUCUAUUCGUCUAUCGCCCUGUUUCUGUGAAACUUUCUUCUCUCUGCUGAUCAUCCCUGCAGACGGAUGUUCGUAGAGGACUCACUUCAGUCCGUCGCCCCUGGUUCUGUCCUGGAGCCGACAGAUGCGACAGGGUUAUGAAAGCAGCAUCAGACACCUGGUCAGGUAUCAUCCUUGACCUGGAGGCACUCGUGACUGCAGCUGUGUCAGAUAGAUGUGGUGCAAUACAAGUUCUCUCGACUUAGGAGGUUUACGUAAGUCCGUUACCGUGGAAACGGAUCCUCCGUGAGUUAUUCAGAUCGUGACGGUUUGAUGCGAGUCUGGAUUUUCGGUUUUCGAUCUUCUUUUUGUUGAACAUUGUCUUAGUCGAACACGACUUUUGAGGAUCGGAUGUUUUUCCUCUCAGACUGUUUGUUUUCAUCCCACUUGUUCGACUGAUCGACAGCUGUGAUCCGUGAUCACUUCCUGGUUUCUGCAGAUGUGCGGGUCAUAUAUGGAAGAUGUUCUUCAUCUUCCAGGAGUGUUGAUGGUCUGAGGACUGAUGGGGGUCAGCUGGGUCCAGGUCUGAUGCUGGGGGUGGUGACAGCUGUGGUCUCCAGAUGGAGCUCCUCGGGGACGUCGGACAUGUUGAGUGUCUUCUCCUUCACCGAGUCCCGAGAUCAGAGGCAUGACGGAUACUUCGGGGAACUCACACAGGGUCGGACAUUUGAGUUCCGGCUCUGCAGGGCGACACUUUUCAUCUGAAUGUCAGGUUUUUACGGAACAAAAGGACUUUGUUUUUCUCACUGGACGACAGAAAACACAACAGUAUUAAUGCAGGUCAGAAAACUUGUUUCGAAAUCAGUUGAACGUAUUUAGAAAACGCUAAAGACAUAGUGAGACACACAACCCCCACAAAGAGACUCAGGCAGACCCCCCCCCACCAUGAGCCGGGUUCUGUUCCAGGUUUCUCCCUGUUAAAGGGAGCUUUUCCUUGCCGCUGUCACCAAGUGCUUGCUCAUGGGGGAUGUUGGCUCUCUGUAAACGUAACUAUAAAGAGUCUGGUCUAGACCUGCUCUACGUGAAAAGUGCCCUGAGAA